rnacentral:rRNA from 1 species
GGAUUAGAUACCCUGGUAGUCCACACCGUAAACGAUGAGUGCUAGAUGUUAGAUUAUUUUAAUUUAGUAUCGUAGCUAACGCAUUAAGCACUCCGCCUGGGGAGUACCACCGCAAGAUUAAAACUCAAAGGAAUUGACGGGGACCUGCACAAGCGGUGGAGCAUGUUAUUUAAUUCGAUGCAACGCGAAAAACCUUACCACUCCUUGACAUAAGAGCAGCCCUUUCUUUAAGAAGAAAGUUCAGUUAGGCUGGGCUCUGUACAGGUGUUGCAUGGCUGUCGUCAGCUCGUGCCG